rnacentral:pre_miRNA from 1 species
CAAAUGCUGCCUCCAUCCGGAAAUAUUUGUCAGAAAAAUGAAUGUAUCUAGACGUAUUUUAGUUUUAGAUACAUCUAUUUUUAUCCAUUUCUGUGACAAAGUUAUUCCGGGCGGAGGGAGUAUCAA